rnacentral:rRNA from 1 species
GGGAAUUUUCCGCAAUGGGCGCAAGCCUGACGGAGCAAGACCGCGUGCGGGAGGACAGCUUAUUGGUUGUAAACCGCUUUUGAUAGGGAAGAAGCUCUGACGGUACCUAUCGAAUCAGCAUCGGCUAACUCCGUGCCAGCAGCCGCGGUAAUACGGAGGAUGCAAGCGUUAUCCGGAAUUAUUGGGCGUAAAGCGUCCGUAGGUGGUUGUUCAAGUCUGCUGUUAAAGCGUGCGGCUUAACCGCAUACCAGCAGUGGAAACUGGGCGACUAGAGUGCGGUAGGGGUCAGGGGAAUUCCCAGUGUAGCGGUGAAAUGCGUAGAUAUUGGGAAGAACACCGGUGGCGAAAGCGCCUGACUGGACCUGCACUGACACUGAGGGACGAAAGCUAGGGGAGCGAAAGGGAUUAGAUACCCCUGUAGUCCUAGCCGUAAACGAUGGACACUAGGUGUUGCCCGUAUCGACCCGGGCAGUGCCGUAGCCAACGCGUUAAUGUCCCGCCUGGGA